AUGAGCACGCCCAGCUUGCAUUUCCAUCCCCAUAAGCUGUUGCUGCCGCUGCUGAGGCCGCCGCCAGUGAUCCUACUAGUCAUCCUUGCCGCCGCGGCUGAUGGGCAGCGUCCGGGUUGCCCCGACAAGUGCGGCGACAUCGACAUCGCCUUCCCGUUUGGCAUCGGCCCCGACUGCUUCCGCGGUGGCUUCGAGGUCUUGUGCAACCACUCCUACAAUCCCCCUCGCGCCUUCCUUGCUGAGAGCACAAUAAAGAGCAAGGUGUACCACUACGGCACGGUCCUGAGCGAGGGUCCUCAGAAUUCGUCAUGGCCGCUGGAGCUGCAGAGCAUAUCAGUCGCCACGGGCGAGGCACGAGUGUACGCCCCGAUCUUGUACCACUGCAGCACAAAUCGCACAAAUGACCCAAAUCAAACCGGGGGCUUCAUGUCCACGGAACAUGUUCUGACGCUCUACGACACGCCGUUCACCGUGUCGUUGACGCGUAAUGUUCUCAUCGGCAUCGGCUUGGAUGUCCAAGCUUUUCUGAGUUACGCGCCGGGGGGCUACACCUCCCAUGGUAGCUUGGAUUGCGACGCAAAAGAUUCCCUGGACAGCAGGGCCAGGCUUGGUGCGAGGAACGGGACGUGCAAUGGGCGGGGCUGCUGCCAGGCCACCCUUGUGGCCGACGACGGCGGCAAGCAUUUCAACUUGGAGGUCCGCGCCCACCACUCCAGCAGCACACUGAAAACCAACCCAUGCGGCUACGGUAUGCUCGUGGAGCAGUCAGGGUACAACUUCUCUACCAUGGACAUGCUGGGCAACAAGACGCUGCUCAAAAGUUUCCCUCGGGGCGUCGCCCUCUCGCUCGAUUUCGCCAUCCAGAGUAACCGGGGGUGUCCGCCGCCUCCGGACUCCGCCUGCGUCAGUGGCAACAGCUCUUGUGCCAUCGGACCAUUUACAUAUACUCCUGGGUAUUUCUGCAAGUGCUGGGACCAUUACAAUGGCAACCCAUACGUCCCUAACGGAUGCCAAGACAUUGAUGAGUGCCUCGAAAAUCCCUGCUCAAAUGGCGGGAUAUGCAAAAACAAGCCUGGAGGCUAUGACUGUCCAUGCAAAGUCGGAAUGAAAGAUGACGGCAAAGGGGGAACCUGCACAGAUAUAUUUCCUCUAGCCGCAAAGGUUACCGUGGGUGUAAUAGGUGGUAUUCUUCUCAUGGCGGUUCUAUCAUUUAUUGGUAUUCUUCACAAAGAGAAAAAGAAGACGAAAGAAUUUUACGAAAAAAAUGGCGGCCCUAUAUUAGAGCAGGCAAAUACCAUUAAACUUUUCAAAAAGGGGGAGCUCAAGCCACUUUUAAAGAAUAGCAACUUAAUUGGAAAAGGCUGCUUCGGUGAAGUGUACAAGGGGCUUCUUGACGAUAAAGAAGUUGCAAUAAAGAAGCCAAUCAAUGGUAGUGUGCUAGAGAGUGAACAAUUUGCAAAUGAAGUCAUCAUCCAAUCUCGAGUCAUCCACAAGAACAUUGUUAGGCUCAUUGGUUGUUGCCUUGAAGUUGAUGCCCCCAUGCUGGUCUAUGAGUUUAUCUCGCAAGGUAGCCUUGAUGAUAUUCUUCACCGCAACAAUAACAAGGUGGCCCUCAACUUGGAUACACGUUUAAAUAUUGCCGCACUGUCGGCGGAUGGUCUAGCUUAUAUGCACUCACAAGCAAACACUAGAAUUCUACACGGUGAUGUCAAACCAGCAAAUAUACUCUUGGAUGAUAAAUUUGCGCCCAAAAUUUCAGACUUCGGCAUAUCUAGAUUGCUUGCGAGAGACAAGGAACACACUGCAUCAGUCAUCGGCGACAAGAAUUAUAUGGAUCCGGUAUAUCUACAAGAAGGCCUACUCACUGAAAAAAGUGACGUCUACAGUUUUGGAGUUGUGAUCCUGGAGCUUAUUAGCAGCAGGAGGGCCAUACAUUCUGAGAAUGAUAGCUUGGUAAAGAGCUUUCUUGAUGCCCAUAAGAAACAGGAGAAAUCAACUGAGCUUUUUGACAAGGAAAUUGCAACGGCAGAAGGUUUAGAGCUUCUUGAUAAUCUAGCAGGUAUGGCAAUGGAAUGCCUGAGCCUUGAUGUAGAUAAAAGACCAACGAUGAUGGAGGUAGCUCAGCGACUACACAUACUGAGUCGAUCCAGUAAGGUGCAAGAUGUUUGUCACGAAGUAAUUUUUGACAAAAGUAAUGCCAAAAACAUGAGCAGUGGAGGUCUCCUUGGUUAG
rnacentral:rRNA from 1 species